CCUCUUCGAUCUGCUGCGGGCAGAUAAAGUGAAUGUGCGUGUCGAUGCCGCCGGCGGUGAGGAUCAUGCCUUCGCCGGCAAUCACCUCGGUGCCGGCGCCGAUGGCGAUGGUCACGUCGGGUUGAAUAUCCGGGUUACCGGCCUUGCCGAUGGCGGCUAUUCGUCCGUCCUUGAGGCCGACGUCGGCUUUGACGAUGCCCCAGUGAUCGAUGAUCAGCGCAUUGGUGAUCAGCGUGUCGACCACGUCCGCCGCACACAGCUGGCCCUGGCCCAUGCCGUCGCGG
rfam:Pseudomonadales bacterium RIFCSPHIGHO2_02_FTLL_60_43 rifcsphigho2_02_scaffold_8701, whole genome shotgun sequence.